UCUGGUAAUGAUGGCAGAGAGGUCACACCCGUUCCCAUACCGAACACGGAAGUUAAGCUCUCUAGCGCCGAUGGUAGUUGGGACCUUGUCCAUGUGAGAGUAGGACGUUGCCAGGC
rnacentral:rRNA from 1 species